CUUCAAGACAAAAUUCAGAAUUGUUCUUUCUCCCUGGGGCAUGAUGAGUAAUGGCUGCAAACAGCAGCCUGCUUGGUAGCACAUGUAGCCCAUUUCUGGUAUAGGCUGACCUAAGUGACCUUGGGGAUAUUU